rnacentral:rRNA from 1 species
GAUGAACGCUGGCGGCGUGCCUAAUACAUGCAAGUCGAGCGAACAGAUAAGGAGCUUGCUCCUUUGAAGUUAGCGGCGGACGGGUGAGUAACACGUGGGUAACCUACCUAUAAGACUGGGAUAACUUCGGGAAACCGGAGCUAAUACCGGAUAACAUUUAGAACCGCAUGGUUCUAAAGUGAAAGAUGGUUUUGCUAUCACUUAUAGAUGGACCCGCGCCGUAUUAGCUAGUUGGUAAGGUAACGGCUUACCAAGGCGACGAUACGUAGCCGACCUGAGAGGGUGAUCGGCCACACUGGAACUGAGACACGGUCCAGACUCCUACGGGAGGCAGCAGUAGGGAAUCUUCCGCAAUGGGCGAAAGCCUGACGGAGCAACGCCGCGUGAGUGAUGAAGGGUUUCGGCUCGUAAAACUCUGUUAUUAGGGAAGAACAAAUGUGGAAGUAACUGUGCACAUCUUGACGGUACCUAAUCAGAAAGCCACGGCUAACUACGUG